AUACCGGCGGCUCGAGUGGUGGCCACUUUUAUUGGGCUUAAAGCGUUCGUAGCUGGGUUGUUAAGUCUCUUGGGAAAUCCGGCGGCUCAACCGUCGGGCGUCUGAGGGAUACUGGCAAUCUUGGAACCGGGAGAGGUGAGGGGUACUUCGGGGGUAGGAGUGAAAUCCUGUAAUCCUUGAGGGACCACCUGUGGCGAAGGCGCCUCACCAGAACGGCUUCGACAGUGAGGGACGAAAGCUGGGGGAGCAAACCGGAUUAGAUACCCGGGUAGUCCCAGCCGUAAACGAUGCGCGUUAGGUGUAUCGGUGACCACGAGUCACCGAGGUGCCGAAGGGAAACCGUGAAACGUGCCGCCUGGGAAGUACGGUCGCAAGGCUGAA
rnacentral:rRNA from 1 species